UGGGGAAUAUUGGGCAAUGGACGCAAGUCUGACCCAGCGACGCCGCGUGCGGGAUGAAGGCCUUCGGGUUGUAAACCGCUUUCAGCAGGGAAGAAGCGAAAGUGACGGUACCUGCAAAAGAAGCACCGGCUAACUAUGUGCCAGCAGCCGCGGUAAUACAUAGGGUACAAGCGUUGUCCGGAAUUAUUGGGCGUAAAGAGCUCGUAGGUGGUUUGUCGCGUUGUUCGUGAAAUCUCACAACUCAAUUGUGAGCGUGCGGGCGAUACGGGCAGACUGGAGUACUGCAGGGGAGACUGGAAUUCCUGGUGUAGCGGUGGAAUGCGCAGAUAUCAGGAGGAACACCGGUGGCGAAGGCGGGUCUCUGGGCCAAUACUGACACUGAGGAGCGAGAGCGUGGGGAGCGAACAGG
rnacentral:rRNA from 1 species